rnacentral:lncRNA from 1 species
GACAACUCAUCCUGGUAACAUGUCCUGUAGACACCCAGAGGGACCCCAGUUCUACUCAGCCAGCAGGACGCUAACCCUAACACCUGGGACCCUCCAGUGCCCAGGGCCAGGGCCUCAAGAAUUUUACCCACGAAAGUCUUAUCUGGGAUCUACAUGUAAUCCAGCCUGACAGGAUGGUACCAGGUCCCAGCAUCUCCCCAGGAACUGAUUCCACCUGCGGGUGGCCAGGGACAGGACCUUGCAGGUCAGGCAGGAGUGGGUCUACUGUUUCUGCUUCCCAGGCAGACUUGUGUGGAGCAAGACUGUUUAUAGACAACGCCUUGCUGUAGCCAGAGGUGGUGGCUUAGCAGCAGCAGGAACGCCCUCCCUCAUUGCUUCACAAGCUCUCAGUUUCAGCGAACAAUGCGCUGGAGUCGACUGCACAGCUCAGCUUUGGUGAAUGCUGUUCUGGGAUUGACUGCACAGCUCGACUCCUGUGAACAGUGCUCUGGGGUCAAUUGCACAGUUCAGCUUUGGUAAAGCCUGCUUUGGGAUGGACUGCACAGCUCAGUUUCGGCAAACAAUGCUCUGGGGUCAACUGCACAGCUCAGCUUUGGUGAACAGGGCCCUGGGGUUGACUGCACAGCUCAGCUUUGGUGAACAGUGCUCCCGUGGACCCUAAAUAUCCUGAUUCUUAUCGAGGAUGUGUAGCCGUGUGACUUGGACAGGGCUCCAGACCUCAACUCUCUCCCUCUCUGCUCCUUUCAAAUAAACAGCAUGGAAUUCUGCGCUCAGGAUGAUAGGAUGGGACAGGCUUAUUAUGUCAACUAAAAGAAGGUUCGAGGGUUGAGGCCACAGCUGCCUGGCUUCUCCAGGACUCACCCUAAGACAAACACAAGAGUGGGCUCUCAUUUUCCCUUCUUGUGUCGAAUCAGAAGGGGGCUACCACAUCAUCACCCUAACUCCGAGAAACGAGUUACACAGAGACAACUCUUCCUGCAGGCCUUCCUUCCCAAGAAGGGGGAAGCACAGAAGAGAGAGUGGAAAAAAAAGGCAGGAAGGGGGCUCGGCAGCCAGCAGCCCUGGCGCUCGACACUGGAGGCUUAACAUCAAAUGCAGGGAGAAAUCCAUUUCCACGGCACUAUUGGCCAUCUCGGACGCCUCGUUUCAAAGAGAAAGAUUUGAAUUCAGAGACGGUGCACUCCCUUUGUUCUCUUGCCCUGCAGCCUUUGGUGCCAGUGUGGACGGUACCACAGGGAGAGGGUGAGAUCAAACCCCCUCUCCUCUCCGUUACCUGCCCCCAGAGCUGGCCCUUGGCAUGCCUAAUGAAAUCAGCUUGACUAUAGGUUGACAAUGCCCUGUCAAUUAUAAUCAUUUAUCUUGGCAAGCAGAGUAUCUGAACACUUGAAAGAGCAGGGGUUCAGCAGACCCAGCAAAACCAGAAUAAAAUUAUACUGCAUGCUAA